rfam:Gossypium hirsutum cultivar TM-1 chromosome 18, whole genome shotgun sequence
UUAGUGGCGCUUUUAAGCGCCACAAAAAGUAUUAAAAGCGCCACA